AGAGUUUGAUCCUGGCUCAGGACGAACGCUGGCGGCGUGCCUAACACAUGCAAGUCGAACGGAGUUGAAAGGAGCUUGCUUUUUUCAAUUCAGUGGCGGACGGGUGAGUAACGCGUGAGUAACCUGCCUUUCAGAGGGGGAUAACGUUCUGAAAAGAACGCUAAUACCGCAUAAGAUUGUAGCUUCGCAUGGAGCAGCAAUCAAAGGAGCAAUCCGCUGAAAGAUGGACUCGCGUCCGAUUAGAUAGUUGGCGGGGUAACGGCCACCAAGUCGACGAUCGGUAGCCGGACUGAGAGGUUGAUCGGCCACAUUGGGACUGAGACACGGCCCAGACUCCUACGGGAGCA
rnacentral:rRNA from 1 species